rnacentral:rRNA from 1 species
GACGAACGCUGGCGGCGUGCUUAACACAUGCAAGUCGAACGGAAAGGCCCUGCUGUUGUGGGGUGCUCGAGUGGCGAACGGGUGAGUAACACGUGAGUAACCUGCCCUUGACUUUGGGAUAACUUCAGGAAACUGGGGCUAAUACCGGAUAGGAGCUCCUGCUGCAUGGGGGGGGUUGGAAAGUUUCGGCGGUUGGGGAUGGACUCGCGGCUUAUCAGCUUGUUGGUGGGGUAGUGGCUUACCAAGGCUUUGACGGGUAGCCGGCCUGAGAGGGUGACCGGCCACAUUGGUACUGAGAUACGGCCCGGACUCCUACGGGGGGCAGCAGUGGGGAAUAUUGCACAAUGGGCGGAAGCCUGAUGCCGCAGCGCCGCGUGCGGGAUGACGGCCUUCGGGUUGUAAACCGCUUUCGCCUGUCACGCAGCGUGUGUGACGGUAAUGGGUAAAGAAGCACCGGCUAACUACGUG